rnacentral:rRNA from 1 species
UGGGGAAUAUUGCACAAUGGGGGAAACCCUGAUGCAGCGACGCCGCGUGAGUGAAGAAGUAUUUCGGUAUGUAAAGCUCUAUCAGCAGGGAAGAAAAUGACGGUACCUGACUAAGAAGCCCCGGCUAACUACGUGCCAGCAGCCGCGGUAAUACGUAGGGGGCAAGCGUUAUCCGGAUUUACUGGGUGUAAAGGGAGCGUAGACGGCUGUGCAAGUCUGAUGUGAAAAGGCAGGGGCUCAACUCCUGGACUGCAUUGGAAACUGUGUAGCUUGAGUGCCGGAGAGGUAAGCGGAAUUCCUAGUGUAGCGGUGAAAUGCGUAGAUAUUAGGAGGAACACCAGUGGCGAAGGCGGCUUGCUGGACCAAAAACUGACGCUGAGGCACGAAAAGCGUGGGUAGCAAAACAGGAUUAGAUACCC